rnacentral:rRNA from 1 species
CGGUAGCACAGAGAGCUUGCUCUCGGGUGACGAGUGGCGGACGGGUGAGUAAUGUCUGGGAAACUGCCUGAUGGAGGGGGAUAACUACUGGAAACGGUAGCUAAUACCGCAUAAUGUCGCAAGACCAAAGAGGGGGACCUUCGGGCCUCUUGCCAUCAGAUGUGCCCAGAUGGGAUUAGCUAGUAGGUGGGGUAACGGCUCACCUAGGCGACGAUCCCUAGCUGGUCUGAGAGGAUGACCAGCCACACUGGAACUGAGACACGGUCCAGACUCCUACGGGAGGCAGCAGUGGGGAAUAUUGCACAAUGGGCGCAAGCCUGAUGCAGCCAUGCCGCGUGUAUGAAGAAGGCCUUCGGGUUGUAAAGUACUUUCAGCGGGGAGGAAGGUGUUGUGGUUAAUAACCGCAGCAAUUGACGUUACCCGCAGAAGAAGCACCGGCUAACUCCGUGCCAGCAGCCGCGGUAAUACGGAGGGUGCAAGCGUUAAUCGGAAUUACUGGGCGUAAAGCGCACGCAGGCGGUCUGUCAAGUCGGAUGUGAAAUCCCCGGGCUCAACCUGGGAACUGCAUUCGAAACUGGCAGGCUGGAGUCUUGUAGAGGGGGGUAGAAUUCCAGGUGUAGCGGUGAAAUGCGUAGAGAUCUGGAGGAAUACCGGUGGCGAAGGCGGCCCCCUGGACAAAGACUGACGCUCAGGUGCGAAAGCGUGGGGAGCAAACAGGAUUAGAUACCCGUGGUAGUGCACGCCGUAAACGAUGUCGAUUUGGAGGUUGUGCCCUUGAGGCGUGGCUUCCGGAGCUAACGCGUUAAAUCGACCGCCUGGGGAGUACGGCCGCAAGGUUAAAACUCAAAUGAAUUGACGGGGGCCCGCACAAGCGGUGGAGCAUGUGGUUUAAUUCGAUGCAACGCGAAGAACCUUACCUGGUCUUGACAUCCACAGAACUUUCCAGAGAUGGAUUGGUGCCUUCGGGAACUGUGAGACAGGUGCUGCAUGGCUGUCGUCAGCUCGUGUUGUGAAAUGUUGGGUUAAGUCCCGCAACGAGCGCAACCCUUAUCCUUUGUUGCCAGCGGUCCGGCCGGGAACUCAAAGGAGACUGCCAGUGAUAAACUGGAGGAAGGUGGGGAUGACGUCAAGUCAUCAUGGCCCUUACGACCAGGGCUACACACGUGCUACAAUGGCGCAUACAAAGAGAAGCGACCUCGCGAGAGCAAGCGGACCUCAUAAAGUGCGUCGUAGUCCGGAUUGGAGUCUGCAACUCGACUCCAUGAAGUCGGAAUCGCUAGUAAUCGUAGAUCAGAAUGCUACGGUGAAUACGUUCCCGGGCCUUGUACACACCGCCCGUCACACCAUGGGAGUGGGUUGCAAAAGAAGUAGGUAGCUUAACCUUCGGGAGGGCGCUAC